GAUAGGUCAUAAUAUCUGGAAUGAUUUAUGGUUUAAAUCUAUAUGGCCUCUGGAUUGGACUGCGGCCGAUCAGGCUGUUGGUGAGGUAAUGGCCCACCAAACCUGAAACCGGUACGGGCUCUGAGAGGAGAAGCCCGGAGAUGGGCACUGAGACAAGGGCCCAGGCCCUAUGGGGCGCAGCAGGCGCGAAAACUCUGCAAUAAGCGAAAGCUUGACAGGGUUAUUCUGAGUGAUUUCCGCUAAGGAAAUCUUUUGGCACCUCUAAAAAUGGUGCAGAAUAAGGGGUGGGCAAGCCUGGUGUCAGCCGCCGCGGUAAUACCAGCACCCCGAGUGGUCGGGACGAUUAUUGGGCCUAAAGCAUCCGUAGCCGGUUCUACAAGUCUUCCGUUAAAUCCACCCGCUUAACAGAUGGGCUGCGGAGGAUACUAUAGAGCUAGGAGGCGGGAGAGGCAAGCGGUACUUAGUGGGUAGGGGUAAAAUCCGUUGAUCCAUUGAAGACCACCAGUGGCGAAGGCGGCUUGCCAGAACGCACUCGACGGUGAGGGAUGAAAGCUGGGGGAGCAAACCGGAUUAGAUACCCGGGUAGUCCCAGCUGUAAACGAUGCAGACUCGGUGAUGAAUAGGCUUCGU
rnacentral:rRNA from 1 species